rnacentral:rRNA from 1 species
GAUGAACGCUGGCGGCGUGCCUAAUACAUGCAAGUCGAGCGAACGGACGAGCAGCUUGCUUCUCUGAUGUUAGCGGCGGACGGGUGAGUAACACGUGGAUAACCUACCUAUAAGACUGGGAUAACUUCGGGAAACCGGAGCUAAUACCGGAUAAUAUUUUGAAACUCAUUUUUCAAAAGUGAAAGACGGUCUUGCUGUCAUUUAUAGAUGUAUCCGCGCUGCCUUAGCUAGUUGGUAUGGUAACGGCUGUCCAAGGCAACGAUGCAUAGCCAACCUGAGAGGGUAGUCGGCCCAACGGGACCUGGAACACGGUCAGGACUCCUAGGGGAGGCAGAGGAAGGGAAUCUUGGGCAAUGGGGGAAGGCCUGACGGGGCAACGCGGCGGGGGUGAUGAAGUUCUUCGGAUCGUAAACCUCUGUUAUUAGGAAAGAACAGAUGUGUAGGUAACUGUGCACACCUUGACGGUACCUAAUCAGAAAGCCACGGCUAACUACGUG